AAGCUAUGAUGAGGGCACUGUCUUUGUAGACUCUUGAAUCUGUCUCAUGCUUCAAAUAAUGAUUCUCUAUCUGCUUGAGCGAAAUUUAUGAUACAAUUCCUCAUGU